rnacentral:rRNA from 1 species
GGAUGCGAUCAUACCAGCACUAAAGCACCGGAUCCCAUCAGAACUCCGAAGGUAAGCGUGCUUGGGCGAGAGUAGUACUAGGAUGGGUGACCUCCUGGGAAGUCCUCGUGUUGCAUCCC